AUGGCCUGCUGCUCGGCCUGCAGAUUCGCGUCGCCGGCGUCCCCCACAUCCUCCUCCUCCUCCGGCUCCUCCUCCCCCUCAUCCUCCUCCUCCUCGUCCUCCUCCACCACCUUCUCCAACUCCUCCUCUGGAACCACUGCAUCCGGAGGUAGCCCCGCGGCGAUCCGGGCUUCGCGCCUAGCCCAGAUCUGCUCAAGGAGCUCGAGCCAGCCCUCCAGCGUUAGAAAUGGCUCGCUCUGGAGGAGGAAAAAAUGGAUGGAUGGUAGGGUUUCGGUGACGCCGGUCGACUUAAAUAGCCGGGCUAUCCACUAUGCGGGCUGCCGGAGCUGCACCAUGCGGCGCCACUGGUCUGACGAAGGAGACGAGCUUCAGACCGUCGGGUUUCAGGGCGUUUCCGCCUGGGACCCCUUCGCCAGUCCGAUGAUGCUUAGGGCUCGAGAGCAAGAGCGACGACCGCUGAUUCGAAAGCUUGGACGCAGAUCUGUAAGUGAAUCAUGGGCUGAUGGCUGCGUUGUGCUGAUCUCCUCCGUCGCCGUCGCUGAGCUCUGUUUGGUCGAGAGGGAGAAAGGGUGGUGUUCGUCCGCUUCCGGCGCCCACCACCUGCUUGACGGAAUGCCUCACACAAGCAGGGCGGAGAAGUCCUCAAAGUCCUGCAACGAGGACCGGAUCAGCGCCCUGCCGGACGACGCCCUGCCGGAUGAGGCAGUGCACACCAGCCUGCUUGCCAAGCGCUGGCGCUACCUUUGGAAAUCCAUGCGCCGUCUUCGCAUCAACGAAAUGGGGAGGUUCCUACAUAGCUCCGCCGCUGCCGGCGGCGUUUUCCUUACUAAGUUUGUGAGCUGCCUGCUGCUCCUCCGAGACCCUGACUCAACUCUGGAUGAGGUCGAGAUCAAGUAUGAUCAUCAUUUUGAAGACGACCUUACUUGGAUAUCAACAUGGAUCCAUCAUGCUUUGUCAUGCCAAACUCAGGUCCUCACUGUCAAGUUCCCUUUGCCGGUGUACGUGCCCCGCUAUUUGGAUGGCCCUCCUCUGGUCUCCCGGUAUUUAAGAAGAUUAGAGAUUUCUAAAGGGAGGUUGAAGAGCAACUUCCUAAAUUUUUCAAGCUGUUCAACACUGGAGGAUCUAAAGAUAAAAGACUGUGACUUAGAUGCUAGUAGCAUCCUGUCCCAGUCUGUAAAGCAUCUGAGCAUCAAGGAUUGUUUUUUCAAGGAUGAUGUCCGGAUUAAUAUUUCUGUUCCAAAUCUUGUUUUGCUGCAACUCAAAUCAUGUGGAGGUAGAACCCCAUUUCUCGAAAGCAUGUUGUCAUUAGAAACCGCAGUUGUCAGUUCUGAAAUCUGGUCAGUGGAUUACUGUCAUAAAGGUUUUUUUGCUGGGGAGUGUUGUGGUACUUGUCUGGAUUGCUGUGGUAAUGAUGGCCUCAAGGGUGGUUGCGUACUUCUUGGAGGUCUGUCUCGUGCUAAAAACUUGGAGUUGAUAGCUCAUCCGGGAAUGUUUAUUUUCAAAAGGGAUUUGAGAUGGUGCCCUACAUUUAGUAAGUUAAAGACAUUGUUGCUGAACGAGUGGUGUGUGCAACCUGACCUCCGUGCACUAGUUUGUAUGCUUGAACAUUCGCCGGUUCUUGAGAAUCUGACACUUCAAUUGCAUAAGGAUUCGGUUUCAAGAGUUGGCAGGAGCUUUUGGGCCACCGAUGGAUGUACCAGCCAACCAUUGAGUUUCCAGAGGCGGCGAGGCGAGGAACUUUGGGCUGUCGAUGCAUGA
rnacentral:rRNA from 1 species